rnacentral:rRNA from 1 species
GACGAAGGGGGGCUAGCGUUGUUCGGAAUUACUGGGCGUAAAGCGAGUGUAGGUGGUUGUCACAGUCAGGUGUGAAAGCCUUGAGCUCAACUCAAGAAAUGCACUUGAUACUAGGCGACUAGAGGACCGGAGAGGAUAGUGGAAUUCCCAGUGUAGUGGUGAAAUACGUAGAGAUUGGGAAGAACACCAGUGGCGAAGGCGGCUAUCUGGACGGUUUCUGACACUAAGACUCGAAAGCGUGGGGAGCAAACAGG